UACGUAGGGAGCAAGCGUUGUCCGGAUUUAUUGGGCGUAAAGAGCUCGUAGGCGGUUCCGGAAGUCGGGUGUGAAAAAUCUGGGCUCAACCCAGCGGAGCACCCGAUACUGCGGUGACUGGAGUCCGGUAGGGGAGUGUGGAAUUCCUGGUGUAGCGGUGAAAUGCGCAGAUAUCAGGAGGAACACCGACAGCGAAGGCAGCACUCUGGGCCGGUACUGACGCUGAGGAGCGAAAGCAUGGGGAGCGAACAGG
rnacentral:rRNA from 1 species